rnacentral:snRNA from 1 species
GUGCUCUCUUCCCCAGCACAUAUGCUAAACCUGGAAUGACACAGCGAGGAUCAGCAUGGCCCCUGCACAAGGAUGACCUGCACAUCUGUGAAGCGUUCAUAUUUUUU